rnacentral:rRNA from 1 species
AACGAACGCUGGCGGCGUGGAUAAGACAUGCAAGUCGAACGCUUGUCGCAGGGUAGCAAUAUUCUGCGGCAGGAGUGGCGCAAGGGUGCGUAACACGUGGGUAAUUUGCCGUGAAGCUGGGAACAACUCGUUGAAAGACGAGCUAAUACCCAAUGUGCUCCGCAAGGAGUAAAGCCGGGGACCGCAAGGCCUGGCACUUCACGAUAAGCCCGCGGCCUAUCAGCUAGUUGGCGGGUAACGGCCCACCAAGGCUAAGACGGGCAGCUGGUCUGAGAGGACGACCAGCCACACUGGAACUGAGACACGGUCCAGACACCUACGGGUGGUAGCAGUCGAGAAUUUUUCACAAUGGGCGCAAGCCUGAUGGAGCGACGCCGCGUGGGGGAUGAAGGGCUUCGGGCUCGUAAACCCCUGUCAUUCGCGAACAAUGGUGCCGGCCUAACACGUCGUCGCCUGAUAGUAGCGGAAGAGGAAGGGACGGCUAACUCUGUGCCAGCAGCCG